AGUACCAAAAGUCAUAGAGGACAAGAAUUUUUAAUUGAUAAUAUACGGAAACUAAAAAUAAAAUAAAAUAAAAUUCUAUUAAGGGCAUUGGCUUUGUUCUCUCUUUUUAUUCCUGUCUUUAUAUUCUGCCACUGCAGCUCAAUUUGAGGUGGACGACUCAGCUCUGAGGGAAUGAGCAGAUGUUAUGGCCUCUGUUUUUGUGAGAGGGACAGUUAUCUUUUGGCUCGAGAUCAAUACGAAGACUCUAUAUAUCGACAAAAAGAGAACAAAUUAGAACAGGAAUGAUUCAUCCAGGAAACCACACCAAAGGAAAGAAGUUACCUUUUUCUCAAAGCAUCUCUCUUGCCUCUUCUGGCGGAAUCUUCUUAGAGCAGCUUCUCUUUGUGCAAAG